rnacentral:rRNA from 1 species
GUGGGGAAUAUUGGACAAUGGGCGAAAGCCUGAUCCAGCCAUGCCGCGUGAGUGAUGAAGGCCUUAGGGUUGUAAAGCUCUUUCAGUAGGGAAGAUAAUGACGGUACCUACAGAAGAAGCCCCGGCUAACUUCGUGCCAGCAGCCGCGGUAAUACGAAGGGGGCUAGCGUUGUUCGGAUUUACUGGGCGUAAAGCGCACGUAGGCAGAUUGGUCAGUUAGAGGUGAACUCCUGGAGCUCAACUCCAGAACUGCCUUUAAUACUGCCAGUCUAGAGUCCAGAAGAGGUGAGUGGAACUCCUAGUGUAGAGGUGGAAUUCGUAGAUAUUAGGAAGAACACCAGUGGCGAAGGCGGCUCACUGGUCUGGUACUGACGCUGAGGUGCGAAAGCGUGGGGAGCAAACAGGAUUAGAAACCCCAGUAGUCC